UCCGAUAGCAUAGUAGCCUCACUCUAUAUAUAUAUAUAUAAUUGUUGAUUUUGAGCCCAUUCGAUCACUAGGCAAAUGAUAUCGAAAAAUAAUAAAAUUUAUUUUCUAGGUACUCCAAAUACUAUAGAUCAAGUUUAACGGAGUCGAUCGACGAUUCGAAAGUCGCAACAUCGAAAACGAGCUGGAAGCACGGAAGGCUCCGUGCUUCCGAUAGCAUAGUAGCCUCACUCUAUAUAUAUAUA
rnacentral:lncRNA from 1 species